AAAAUUUCUUGGUGAUACAAUAUCUUUUUCUUUGAUAACAAACUAGAAAGAUAUAUUUAAUAAAUUAAAAAAGAAGUUGUUUUAGAACAAUGACAUCAAAUCAAGAACAGAAAUGACUACACGAAAGUAAACAAUUUGAAUAAGAUAAGUAUAUAACUGUAAAUUCACAGAUUAGAAUGAAUAAUUUCUGUAUUUUAUUGAUGAGAAUUACUCCUCUUUAAAUAGAUUACAGGAGAAUAAAUCAAAUCCCACAAAAUCAGAGCUAUAACAGCUAGAAAUCUAAUUCUAAGGAAACAAAUCAGUAAACCUAUUUAAGGAAAUAAAUCUUGCCAAAUAACAUAGAUCCUAAUAGAUACAAUUCUAAUUAUGUAUAAUUCUGAUUUCAUCCACACUCCCCCUCAAGCUUGGCUAUAGAUGUUGAUGAGACCAAGCUUGCCUUCAAGAAAGUCAUGAGUCUGUUCUGAGAGUCCUUUUGUGAGGAUAUCAGCCAGUUGGUGAGAUGUAGGCACAUAUUCAAGCUUGAUAAUGUUUCCAUCAAGCUUUUCUUUAAUAAAAUGUCGAUCAACCUCCACGUGUUUAGUCCUAUCAUGAUGAACAGGAUUGUGAGCUAUACUAAUUGCUGACUUAUUAUCACAAUAGAGCAGCAUAGGUUCUUCAAAUCCAAUCUUUAAUUCCUUCAGCACCCUUCUUAUCCAGAUAAGCUCACACACUCCAUGUGCCAUAGCUCUAAACUCGGCUUCUGCACUACUUCUAGCAACCACUGACUGUUUUUUGCUACGCCAAGUCACCAGAUUUCCCCAUAGCAGCGUGCAAUAACCAGAUGUUGAUUUACGAUCAUUAAUUGAUCCAGCCCAAUCAGCAUCUGUGAAUGCUUUCACCUUUCGAUCAUUAGUCUUUGCAAAAAACAAGCCUUUUCCGGGUGUUCGCUUCAAGUAUCUCAGGAUUCUAUAUACUGCAUUCAAAUGACCUUGACAUGGUGCGUGCAUAUGUUGACUUACUAAACUCACUGCAAAGGCAAUAUCCGGUCGUGUAUGUGAGAGAUAGAUAAGCUUUCCAACUAGGCGUUGAUACUGUCCUUUAUCGACCAGCCCUCUUUCAAGCAUUUUUCCUUUGUUUCCAAGUUCAACUGGAGUCUUACUCGGCCUGCAUCCCAGCAUGCCAGUUUCUUCCAACAAAUCUAAAGUAUAUUUUCUUUGAGAGACAGAGAUCCCCUUCUUACUCCUUGCAACUUCCAUUCCAAGAAAGUAUCUUAACGCUCCAAGGUCUUUAACUUCAAAUUCCUUUGCCAUCAUCUGCUUGACUCUUUCCACUUCUUUGUUAUCAUUUCCAGUGACAAUGAUAUCAUCAACAUACACUAUAAGAAUAGUAAUUUUUUCAUUUUCAGCAUGCUUAACAAACAACGUGUGAUCAGCUUGUCCCUGGACAUAGCCAAAUUCCUUGAUAACUUUGGAGAAUCUGUCGAACCAAGCCCGUGGAGACUGCUUCAGACCAUAGAGGGACUUAUUGAGUUUACAAACAGUGUGACUCCCUAGGUUUUCUUCAAAUCCUGGAGGUUGACACAUAAAAACUUCCUCUGCAAGCUCACCAUUUUUAUUGAUGAGAAUUACUCCUCUUUAAAUAGAUUACAGGGGACUAAAUCAAAUCCCACAAAAUCAGAGCUAUAACAGCUAGAAAUCUAAUUCUAAGGAAACAAAUCAGUAAACCUAUUUAAGGAAAUAAAUCUUGCCAAAUAACAUAGAUCCUAAUAUAUACAAUUCUAAUUAUGUAUAAUUCUGAUUUCAUCCACACUCCCCCUCAAGCUUGGCUAUAGAUGUUGAUGAGACCAAGCUUGCCUUCAAGAAAGUCAUGAGUCUGUUCUGAGAGUCCUUUUGUGAGGAUAUCAGCCAGUUGGUGAGAUGUAGGCACAUAUUCAAGCUUGAUAAUGUUUCCAUCAAGCUUUUCUUUAAUAAAAUGUCGAUCAACCUCCACGUGUUUAGUCCUAUCAUGAUGAACAGGAUUGUGAGCUAUACUAAUUGCUGACUUAUUAUCACAAUAGAGCAGCAUAGGUUCUUCAAAUCCAAUCUUUAAUUCCUUCAGCACCCUUCUUAUCCAGAUAAGCUCACACACUCCAUGUGCCAUAGCUCUAAACUCGGCUUCUGCACUACUUCUAGCAACCACUGA
rnacentral:lncRNA from 1 species